UACGAAGGAUCCAAGCGUUAUCCGGAUUUAUUGGGUUUAAAGGGUGCGUAGGCGGGCUAUUAAGUCAGUGGUGAAAGCCCCAAGCUUAACUUGGGAAUUGCCAUUGAUACUGAUGGUCUUGAGUACACUUGAAGUGGGCGGAAUGUGUCGAUGUAGCGGUGAAAUGCUUAGAUAUGACACAGAACACCGAUGCGAAGGCAGCUCAC
rnacentral:rRNA from 1 species